rnacentral:rRNA from 1 species
AGCGAACGCUGGCGGCAGGCCUAACACAUGCAAGUCGAACGAAGCCUUCGGGCUUAGUGGCGGACGGGUGAGUAACACGUGGGAACGUACCUUUUGGUUCGGAACAACUCAGGGAAACUUGAGCUAAUGCCGGAUGAGCCCUUAGGGGGAAAGAUUUAUCGCCGAAAGAGCGGCCCGCGUUAGAUUAGCUAGUUGGUGAGGUAAAGGCUCACCAAGGCUACGAUCUAUAGCUGGUCUGAGAAGAUGAUCAGCCACACUGGGACUGAGACACGGCCCAGACUCCUACGGGAGGCAGCAGUGGGGAAUCUUGCGCAAUGGGCGAAAGCCUGACGCAGCCAUGCCGCGUGAAUGAUGAAGGUCUUAGGAUUGUAAAAUUCUUUUACCAGGGACGAUAAUGACGGUACCUGGAGAAAAAGCCCCGGCUAACUUCGUGCCAGCCGCCGCAGUAACAC